CCAUCAGAGAUGGACUCAGGAUUAGGUGUAUGUAUGGUAUGGGCGGAGUAGGAAAAAUCUUACUCAAAUCUUGCGCAUCUCAACACUUGCA
rnacentral:sRNA from 1 species